AAAGCGCACGCAGGCGGUUUUGUUAAGUCAGAUGUGAAAAUCCCCGGGGCUCCAACCUGGGAACUGCAUCUGAUACUGGCAAGCUUGAGUCUCGUAGAGGGGGGGUAGAAUUCCAGGUGUAGCGGUGAAAUGCGUAGAGAUCUGGAGGAAUACCGGUGGCGAAGGCGGCCCCCUGGACGAAGACUGACGCUCAGGUGCGAAAGCGUGGGGAGCAAACAGGAUUAGAUACCCUGGUAGUCCACGCCGUAAACGAUGUCGACUUGGAGGUUGUGCCCUUGAGGCGUGGCUUCCGGAGCUAACGCGUUAAGUCGACCGCCUGGGGAGUACGGCCGCAAGGUUAAAACUCAAAUGAAUUGACGGGGGCCCGCACAAGCGGUGGAGCAUGUGGUUUAAUUCGAUGCAACGCGAAGAACCUUACCUGGUCUUGACAUCCACGGAAGUUUUCAGAGAUGAGAAUGUGCCUUCGGGAACCGUGAGACAGGUGCUGCAUGGCUGUCGUCAGCUCGUGUUGUGAAAUGUUGGGUUAAGUCCCGCAACGAGCGCAACCCUUAUCCUUUGUUGCCAGCGGUCCGGCCGGGAACUCAAAGGAGACUGCCAGUGAUAAACUGGAGGAAGGUGGGGAUGACGUCAAGUCAUCAUGGCCCUUACGACCAGGGCUACACACGUGCUACAAUGGCGCAUACAAAGAGAAGCGACCUCGCGAGAGCAAGCGGACCUCAUAAAGUGCGUCGUAGUCCGGAUUGGAGUCUGCAACUCGACUCCAUGAAGUCGGAAUCGCUAGUAAUCGUGGAUCAGAAUGCCACGGUGAAUACGUUCCCGGGCCUUGUACACACCGCCCGUCACACCAUGGGAGUGGGUUGCAAAAGAAGUAGGUAGCUUAACCUUCGGGAGGCGCU
rnacentral:rRNA from 1 species